rnacentral:tRNA from 1 species
GGUCUUGUAUUCAUUUUGUGAUUUCGGAGUGCAAUUCUGAGGGGGUAGAUUAUAAGUUUACCAAGGCCU